rnacentral:misc_RNA from 1 species
GAUGAAGAACGCAGCGAAAUGCGAUACGUAAUGUGAAUUGCAAAUUCAGUGAAUCAUCGAGUCUUUGAACGCACAUUGCGCCCCCUGGUAUUCCGGGGGGCAUGCCUGUCCGAGCGUCAUUGCUGCCCUCAAGCACGGCUUGUGUGUUGGGCCCCGUCCUCCAAUCCCGGGGGACGGGCCCGAAAGGCAGCGGCGGCACCGCGUCCGGUCCUCGAGCGUAUGGGGCUUUGUCACCCGCUCUGUAGGCCCGGCCGGCGCUUGCCGAUCAACCCAAAUUUUUUAUCCAGGUUGACCUCGGAUCAGGUAGGGAUACCCGCUGAACUUAAGCAUAUCAAUAAGCGGAGGA